rnacentral:lncRNA from 1 species
AUGUCUAAGGAUGCAUAAACAUUUAUAACUAAAUAUAUAAAUUAUUUCAUAGCUUCUUAAAAAGCCUGAAAAAGGAGAUGACCUCAUCACUGAAACAAAUAAGGAAAAAGGAGAAGAAGCUGAUAUUGAAGAAAGCAAAUGGGAGAAAUCACCUGGGUCUGGGAGUAUAAAAUCAAAGCCACUGGAAGGUUCACCAAAGGAACUUAAGGAGAAGUCACAAAAUGAUAGUGAUAAAGAGCAAAGGGAGUUGGAGAGAAGAUUUCGUGAAAAAGAACUUGAAAGACAAAGGUAUCGGUUGGAUGAUGGCAGAAAGCAUAGAGCUCACUAUGAGUUUGACAAGUUUGUGAGAAGGAAUGAAGAAGAGCUGAAAUGGGGGAAAGGAUACAGCCAAGACAGAGGGAAGAAAGGGAACCACAACUACAGCUUCACUGUGGAGGCCGUAGACAAACUGGGAUCGUCCAGCCAUGCAGUUAUACCAGCCAGGAACUCGCAUUCGAACACAUACGGGAUCUACAAGUAAAAUCUGUGAUUGCAGUGGGAAGUCCUCUGAAGAGGCCUAUGAUAGAAAGUAUGAAGCAGAUAAUUCAACUGGAGGUGGUUCUGAGAAGAGUGAAGAGGCAGAAUGAAAGAAAAGGGGUAGAAAACUUGUGAAAAAAAAUGAAUUUAAGGUUAAAUUCUCCACAAAAAUAUGUCAGGUCACUUCAGAAUUCCACAGAUUGGACCAACAAAACUAUAGUAAUCUGUCUCUUUCUUUAAAAUGAAGAAAAUAGUGUUUGGAGGCAGAUGAAAUAGCCCAUAAAAGAAAUUUAGUUGCUUUUCUACAAAAACUAGUAGCAAACACUUUUUGACUAAUUUCGUAGUAGUUCAUUAUUUUAGUAAGUUUACCAUUAGCUAGAAAACAUCUAAUAGUUUUCAACUUGUAUUUAUAUAAAACUUGUCAGAAAAUAUUUCACUUAGUCAAGAUGAUUAAAUUGAGAGAAAUAAAUAAAUGUAGAUUUGCAUCAGUUUGAAAUCUGAGGCACUUUAAAUGUUUCUGUGAAUGGCAUUAUCUUCAUAGGAUCCAAUCCUGCAAACACCGUGAGGCAUAAUGCUUACUACAGAGAGUAGUAUUGACGUCAAAGAGACUACACGCAGCAGAAGCACUGUCACCAGUAGUGUCUACAGGAUUAGUCCCAGAGUUUACAAACAUUUGUGGGUAUCCAUACCUCAUUGUGUUUACAUCGUUUUUCAAUUCACUGUAUUGUCACAUAAGUGAAUAAAAGCC